rnacentral:rRNA from 1 species
AGAUUGAACGCUGGCGGCAGGCCUAACACAUGCAAGUCGAGCGGUAGAGAGGUGCUUGCAUCUCUUGAGAGCGGCGGACGGGUGAGUAAUGCCUAGGAAUCUGCCUAGUGGUGGGGGAUAACGUUCGGAAACGGACGCUAAUACCGCAUACGUCCUACGGGAGAAAGCGGGGGCCUUCGGGCCUCGCGCCAUUAGAUGAGCCUAGGUCGGAUUAGCUAGUUGGUGAGGUAAUGGCUCACCAAGGCGACGAUCCGUAACUGGUCUGAGAGGAUGAUCAGUCACACUGGAACUGAGACACGGU